AUGUCCGCAAGCUGCUGGUCCUUCCGGGCCUUGUGGCUACCACUGGUGCUGAUGUCCGCGGCGGCCGACGAACAAGGAGAAGGCUGCUCUGGCUCGGCCAAGAGAUGCGGCAACCUCACCAUGUCCGACCCGUUCUGGCUCGCCGACGAGGGGAUCGGCAGAUCAUGUGGUUCCCCGGACUUCGUGGCCGUCUGCGACAGCAACUUCACCGGAUUUACAUCUCCGGUUUUACGGAGCGCUAUGCCCUUCAGCGACGGCUUUGCAAUCCUCAAUAUCUCUUACGAGGAUCGCAGCCUGCAUGUCAUUGAUGUGGGCAAGGUGCACGUGUUGCAAGUCGCCAACAGCUGCCAUGUGCCCAUCUGGAACAGCUCCGUCAAACUGCGGCCCUCGUUUAGGAUCGACCCCGCCAACGUGAACCUCAUCUUCUACAACUGCACGGAGGUGGCUGCGGCGGCGGCCGUGGCACGUAGCGAUCGAGGGCUGGCGCGGACGAUGGUGAGGUGUGGGAACGAGUGGGAGGUGCUUGUUCGCGUGGGAGUGCCUUACGAUGUGACCGGGAACUACGGUGGCUAUGCUUUGGGGGGCUGCCAUGCCGUGGUCACGCCGGUGAUGGGCUCGUCAACGGGGGCUAACGCAAGCGACUAUGAGCGGCUCAUCGGGGAUGGCUUCCUCUUGACAUGGCUUGAA
rnacentral:rRNA from 1 species